GACGAACGCUGGCGGCGUGCCUAAUACAUGCAAGUAGAACGCACAGUUUAUACCGUAGCUUGCUACACCAUAGACUGUGAGUUGCGAACGGGUGAGUAACGCGUAGGUAACCUGCCUGGUAGCGGGGGAUAACUAUUGGAAACGAUAGCUAAUACCGCAUAAUAUUAAUUAUUGCAUGAUAAUUGAUUGAAAGGUGCAAAUGCAUCACUACCAGAUGGACCUGCGUUGUAUUAGCUAGUAGGUGAGGUAACGGCUCACCUAGGCGACGAUACAUAGCCGACCUGAGAGGGUGAUCGGCCACACUGGGACUGAGACACGGCCCACACUCCUACGGGAGGCAGCAGUAGGGAAUCUUCGGCAAUGGACGAAAGUCUGACCGAGCAACGCCGCGUGAGUGAAGAAGGUUUUCGGAUCGUAAAGCUCUGUUGUAAGAGAAGAUCGGGUA
rnacentral:rRNA from 1 species